UGAUGGAAACGGUAGAGAAGGUAGCUCUAGCAGCACACCAGAGUCCUGCAAACCGGAGAGAAACGAACAAAAUUGUCCUCUUUACGUAUCUUUUCCCGUGCUUUAAGAUAACCAGAUGAGGCUACUGUGUUCAUAAAGGAGCAAAAGAUUCACUGUGAUGUCGUCGCUUUGGAGAAUGCAGAAAUGGCACUUCACAUUCCUGUCUGUGGAGUCUGCAACACAUCAUGGCAGAAAAGCAGUUUUUGCUGAUUUUUCUCUUCCCAUCAGACACUAGACUACAUCGCUUUUUGGACACUGUUAUAGUUAAUAUUUUUAAGUGGAUUUAAUGGAGCUUUGACCUGUUGAGGAAUCAAUCAGGUCUAAUUUCAGUCUUUUCUGUCUAAACUUUUUUUUUUUGCUAGAACUACUGUAAAGUCUUGAUUUUGUUAAUUUUGUCUUUUUUCUUUAUACGUGUGACAGCACACAGAGAACACCUGUUGAUAACUGACAACUUUUCCUUCUAAUUUGACUAACUGCUUUUGUCAAUUUUCAAUAAAUAUGUAUAAUUAUACACCUUUUAUAAGUUACUUUUACUUUCAGUGUUUGUUUGCAUAACAGAAGCAUGAAUUGAUAGCAACCUAAGAUCAAAGAAAUGCAACUGUAAAAUCAACACAAUUUCCAUUAUAUUUGUAGCUUUUUGAAAUAUUCUCUCUCUUGCAUUACAUGGGUUAGUUCUGCCCUUGUUAAUUUUGGUGCCUGCUCUUUAAAUAUAUCCAUAUGGUUCAAAAAGCUGUUAUUGUUACAAAGGCUCAGCCCAUAGUGAUGAUGUCACAGGACGCAACUGUGCGUUUUCUUCUUCAGUGGUUUUGUGUGCGUUCAUCCAGUCGGUUUCGGUUUGGCACGUGCCGGAGGCAGCAGCAGAGAGAGAACCUGAGUGUGUUAGAAUCCUGAGUUUAGUUUGGGUGCACCUCAGUUGCUUUAUUUUAAGUAUUUGAACAAACCACUGGAAUAAAUUCAGAACAUCUGC